AUGAACGCAGAGAUACUUUACAUGCAAACACACACACACACACACACACACACACACACACACACACACACAAAUGCUGUUCCCAUUUCCCCCUGUCUUUCAUCUGACAAAGCGGGUAGUGACUGCGAGCUCAGAAUUGGCUGGCGGAGGUGUCUGCUGGUGUGUGGGCUCCAUUUCUGGGGCUUUAUCAAGCCCUGUCUCCGAUUUUCCCAUUUCAGACAAUCUUCCUUUGAAGACGUGGAUGACAUAGUAAAACCGAUUGCACUUGAGAGCCGAUUCCAUGACUAUUUUGCUGCAACAGCGAAAGGAAUGGCACCUUUCUGCAUUUCCUGAAAGGCACCCACCCACUACCUGGGAGAACUGGCCCCUGACUUUAGUGAUGAGCUUUUCUUUCUGGAAGAUGAGGAAGCAACCAAGGUCACGAUCGCCGCCCGUGUCACCUUCCCAUCUUCCUGGAGGGACGACCAUCCCUUCCGUUGGGUACCGCCUCGUGUCCCUGCCAUUUCGUUGUGUAGCAUUAAAACUAGG
rnacentral:lncRNA from 1 species